UUUCUUUCUUUCUCUUCCUCACCGAAACCGUGCGCACCGAGUUCUUCCUCGUGCCGAGUCGCCAUCUCCUCCCGUGCCCUAACUGCCACUCGGCAGUUCCCUUCUUCUUCCCCAGCCGAUUCCCUCUUCCUCUUCGGAUCUGUGCAUCUCCUUCCUCCCCAAGCCGCACACCCAACGCCACGCCCCCCAAUCCCUUCUCCUCCUGUGUCGCUGACGUUUUCUCCUCGCCGGCACUUGAGCGCCGCCCUUCCCCUCUUCGGAUCUGCGUGCCGACGCCAAUCCACCUCCGCCAGCCACAGGUCCGACCUAGCGCCGGCCAAACUCCUCUGCCCUAGUUUGUAUUCGGCGCCGCUGCCGUCUCUCGACCCGAACCAGCGCCGCUGUCGCCUGUGCCCUAGCGCCAACGGCCGAGUUUCAUCUGUGCCCUAGACCGCCGACUCUUGGUGUCUCCUCAUCGCGGCACCAGCGGGUCUUUUUCUUGCCGCUGCUCUCUACUGGUUCGUCACCGCAGUGGCUUUGGGUAGGAGGUUAUCAAUCUGGUUUGGGGUAUCCGGUGCGGAAAUCGCAAUCUGGUAGUAGUGCAUUGUUUUGGGUAUUUUCUUGAUUCGAGCAGCGAGGUGAAUUUCCAGCAGAACUUGGACACGAGACGAGUCUCUCGACGUUGAAUUUGGAUCGAUUUGGACUUUUCUUAUUGGAGGCGGGU